rnacentral:rRNA from 1 species
CAGUGGGGAAUAUUGCACAAUGGCGAAAGCCUGAUGCAACCAUGCCGCGUGGGUGAAAAAAGGCUUCCGGUUGUAAAGCACUUUCAGUCAGGAGGAAAGGGUGUGAGUUAAUACCUCGUAUCUGUGACGUUACUGGCCAAAAAAGCACCGGCUAACUCCG